GUCAUUUAAAAAUUGGAACGAUACAGAGAAGAUUAGCAUGGCCCCUGUGCAAGGAUGAUAUGCAAAUUUGUGAAGUGUUCCAUAUUAAA
rnacentral:snRNA from 1 species